rnacentral:lncRNA from 1 species
UCGGGGCUCAUCUACGAGGAGACCCGCGGCGUGCUCAAGAUCUUCCUCGAGAACGUCAUCCGCGACGCCGUCACCUACACCGAGCACGCCCGCCGCAAGACCGUCACCGCCAUGGACGUCGUCUACGCGCUCAAGCGCCAGGGCCGCACCCUGUACGGCUUCGGCGGCUGAAGAGCCGCGGCGCUGGCUGGCCCUGGCGCACAAGCCCUGGCUCGCGGUCAAGAAAUCGAAGGAGGAGAGAAAGCUGUAGUUGAUUUGGGUUCUGUGCCUUCCAUGCUUAGUACUAGUAGUAUCCUAUGCUUAGUAGUUUGCUUCCGUGUUCUGAACCUGAUGGGCAAAUACUGUGUUCGCCGAGUUAUAUGAUUCAGUUAACGAAUUGUUCUCUAGUUAUGAAUUAUGCUAAUGACGAUGCUAUUCUGUUUUACAACUCUUUGUGCUACCGCAUUUAGCUUGUUGCAAAUCCUGUGAUGCAAUUGUUUUCUGUCCGUCUUGUAUUUCUUUUCUGCAGCUGUUUGUCUGUUGAUUCGUGGCUGUCUUCUGCAGAUCCCGCAACUAAUUGUGUGAAUAUUUUCUGCAAACCUUCAUGUGUCAAGAUGAUGUCGCUGAGCCUAUAGGUUCUCAUCGUGCGUUGUAAUUUCCCUUCUUUUUUCCGAUAGUCCGUUUGGGAUGCACUGCAGAACGGUUAUCCUUUUCAUCUAAUUUUUUGGUCCUCUUCGCUGGUAACCUGGUUCUGUCCUGCCUGCGUCUCUGUGCAGACCUUAAUUUGUCGGUGUAAUAUGGCCACAACUUUGCGCCUCUUGCUUGUCAGCCCCUCCCAAAGUCAGUUUCGUUGAAUUUUCUGCCCUUUUUGAACAGCCUACUUGUGCUUGCUCCAGUACUGAUUGGCAAUCGACAUUGCCAUCGUGCUGCUCUAUGCGUUUAAUUUGUUGGGACUCAGGAGACGGCCUUCCAAAUCAAACGGACGGCAGAAGUAGUGGAGCGAUUUGGAAGCCUUUCAGUUUGAGGUUCCUAGCGAUGCGUUGAUGUUCCCGUGGGAUUCCUAAUUUCCUACUAGUUGAAAAAAGAGUUAUGGCUCCUUAAAAAAACGAAUCAAAAAGGUGUGUACCAGUGUUUUUGGAAUAUCCAUGAAAAAUGGUCUUAAUUUUUAAAAAAUGCACAAGAAUUUAAAUGUUCAGUAUUUUUAAAUAUUUUUUUAGUGGAAGUAUUUUUUUGAGCAGUUUAGUGGAAGUUUUUUUUUGAGACAAUAGUGGAAGUAUUUUAAAAGAAAUGGUUCGUAUAUUUGGCUAUCCAUAUAUUCUGUUUCGCGGGCCGUCUGACGGAACCGGUCCGGGUCCAGGCCCAUAUUCAUUGCCCACCUACCACACCACACCAAACCCACGACCCACGGCCCCUAAUAAAGCCGAGGGCCGAAGCCCACCCACCCACAAGUUUCUUCGCUGUCCCUCGCCGUCGUCGGCGCUUCCCCCUCCCGAUUCAUCGCCGACCCCCUCUCCUCUCCCCCCCUCCCGCAGCACUCGCCCGCUCACAGACACCAAUCCACUCCGCCGCCUCCCACACUCCUCUCCACCAAGCCACCGCCGGGCCAGAAGACUCUCCCCGGUGUCUCCUCGGCCAAUCGCCCCUCGCCGCCCCCCCACACGCCUCCCGUUCCUCGCGUGCCUCAUUUUCGCUUGGCGCGCGCGUCCUUUCGAUCCGGCUCUAUCCGUCCGUACCACCGGCGAAAUCGGGCGGCUCUGCUCUCUGCUGCGAGUAGCUAGGGUUUCAGCCGAGCUCCCGGGCUCCGGGGCGCCGGGGGAUGGCGGCUCAGGGAGGCGAGGCGGCUGCCGGAUCCGACCCCAAGCCCAACGAGGUAUGCUUGCGCCGCUCCUCGUCUCUCAGCAAUCCCGAGCUUGCCAGGCCUUUGCUUCCGCCCUGUUUUAACCUUUCCCGGGCUUGCACGCGAUUCGUUCUGUUUCCGUUAUGGCUUGAGAACUGAGAUGCAGAUUGGUUACUCAGUCGGCUAGGAUGCUAGUCGAUUCGCACUAUUAUAUAGCGUCCGCUUCUUUGCUUUGCUGUGGGAUAGUUAGGUCCAACCGAGGCACGUGGAUAGUUUGUUCUAGCUGCUGGAGCUUCUAUUUGAUAUCUAAUGUUUGCUAAUUUACUGCCUCAGAAGUGUAGGAAUUAUGACCAGCGUGACAACUGAUGAAUUAGCUGAUGUAGUGUAUUUUGUUUCUGUUCCUUUGCUCAUUCACCUAUAGAUGAUAUACCUUUCUUGUGAUUUAGCCCUCCUGGUAGUUAGUCAAUGUGGUAGUAUGUGUAAGUUAAGUCGUGAAGUACUCAGGGUGUCAAUCCUUGGGGGGCUUAGUAUUGGCUCUCAACUUGGAUGCUCAUGUUUGAUGAAUUGCCUAUAAUUGCUUGUGUUCUUGCAUGGCAAGCGAAUAUCUCUAACUGGAGCUGUCAUGGCGGAUGUAAUGUUUUGAAUGUACUGCUUCCUGGAAAUGUAUGGUGACCAUUUUUUGUUGUAACUGGUGUAUCCGGCACUAGUGGUAGCUUGUAAAUGGGUAUUACCUGGAUGUUAGUACUUCACCUCUCGGAGCAGGCAGUGGAGCAGGAUUAGGCUAGGGUCAGGAACUUGGCACUUGGGUGCCGUGGGGCACACGCUAGGGUCAGGAACUUGGCACUUGGGUGCCGUGGGGCACACGCUAGGGCUAGGGCUGAAACCAUAGGUGCUGGGAGUACUGGAGGAGGCUAGCGUUCUGGAGCAAAUAGAAGGUUUGAUUGAUGUGACUUGUGUAUGUUUCAUUAUCUAGAUGGUCUACCUUACAGUUACAGAUGGUAGACUCAAAACUGAAAAGGUUAGAAUUCCAAAUAGAACUCAAACUGCACCGUUAUGUAAUCCCCCCCUCAAUAAGAAUGGUCCUCAAGCCUGACAAUCUGAAAACCUGUUUUGAAUCUUCGAAGCAGGUUUGCCUUUUUCUUACCUUGUCGCAGUUCCUAGAUUUGUUGCGGCUGUAGCGUGUUGUGGCCGCAGACCCGCAACGCUUACAUGUAUCCACAAUGCUGGAAGAUAGGCUCAAAGAGCUAAGGAUGAAACCUCUCAUCCGUUGUCUUAUCAAUAUGCUAUAGGUAUCUGAGAGCCUGUGUUGUUAUUACCUAUGUCAAGGAGUAUUUGUAACUUGCUAACUGGUAUUGAUUGCUAAGAUCAGUGAUCUAUUGAUGAAACCCUGAGCUGUGUCCAUCUAGUUGCCCUGAUAUGGAUGGUGAUUUGGAUCCAGUGAUUCAAAAAUUUCCACAACCAGGAUGUGAGAAUUAAUGGUAUGCUGGUAUGUACAUUUGGAAAUAUAAAAUCAAUGGAUACCACAAUAGACUGAGAACGAGGUGGCGUCUAGACUCCAAGAAGUGGUAUUGAGAGGGAGUGAGUAGGGAUGACAAUAGGGUCCCAUUCUCCAAUCAAUGAUGGGGAUGUCCAUGUAAACCUAGAUUUACAAGGGGAUAAUUACUGUUCUGAAGAUAACCAGACGGCCCCGAAGCACUGGAGUGAUCCAGUAGCCGGGAAGGGGCCUAGAAGUGCCUACUAUAUACCAAACUACACUUGUCUCUACACAUUUACAGAGCGUACCCCUGUCCAGUGUCUGGCAGAAAGUUGGGAGCUUCAAUUGUUGACUCGUUAUCCCCAUCUCAGCCCAGGCUAACGGAGCCUGACUUAUUCAAGGGAGAGAAUGGAGCCUAUCGAUGCACCCUUGAGAGUAAGAUCCUUGGCUCAUGUUCCAGAGAUACCGUAACAAAAAGCUCCGCAGGGAUGCUAGGGUUUGGGUAGACAUAGGUUGUGAAGAGAGAAUUACUAGAGACAACAGACUGAUGUUUUUGCUUGCCUCCUUACAAUAGGGAUACAUCCCUUAUAUAGACAUUUGAGAAUAUGUCAUAAAAAAUAUACUGUUUGAAACCACUCUUUAGUAUGAAUUGGAUGGUACUACAAUUUUUGUGACACAUAACACACGUUUUCAGGGUCUAAUUGAUGGUCAAAGUUGAACCUCGAGAUAUGUGUGCGCCAUGUAGGGACAGAGGGAGUACCUAAUGCUAGGAUGGAUACACUAAGAUAAAACUCCUAGUUUGACACAAACUCUUCUUACAAACUCCCUUCUCUAUAGCUGUCUACAACACAUACACAGUAAGUAUGCAGUGGUAUAUAGAAUGCAGCAAAAAGAAAAAAA